rnacentral:rRNA from 1 species
AAACCAACAGGGAUUGCCCCAGUAACGGCGAGUGAAGCGGCAAGAGCUCAAAUUUGAAAUCUGGCCUCCCCCGGGGGUCCGAGUUGUAAUUUGCAGAGGAUGCUUCGGGCGCGGCCCCCGUCUAAGUUCCUUGGAACAGGACGUCAGAGAGGGUGAGAAUCCCGUCUUGGGCGGGCGGCCCGCGCCCGUGUGAAGCUCCUUCGACGAGUCGAGUUGUUUGGGAAUGCAGCUCUAAGCGGGUGGUAAAUUUCAUCUAAAGCUAAAUACCGGCCGGAGACCGAUAGCGCACAAGUAGAGUGAUCGAAAGGUUAAAAGCACCUUGAAAAGGGAGUUAAACAGCACGUGAAAUUGUUGAAAGGGAAGCGCUUGCGGCCAGACUCGGGGGGCGGGGUUCAGCGGGCGCUCGUCGCCCGUGCACUGCCCGCUCCCCGGGCCAGCAUCAGCUUCGACGGCCGGUCAAAGGCCCCCGGAAUGUGUCGUCUCUAGGGACGUCUUAUAGCCGGGGGUGCAAUGCGGCCCGUCGAGACUGAGGAACGCGCUCCGGCUCGGACGCUGGCGUAAUGGCCGUAAGCGGC